AUGCUUUCUUUGGCAGCACACCUUAUAAAACUGGGAUGAUACAAAAAAUACUAACAUGGCCCCUGAAUAAGAAUGACAUGCAAAUUCAUUAAGCAUUCUAUAUUUUU
rnacentral:snRNA from 1 species